CAGGAAGUAGUUUAAUUAAAAUAUUAAUUUUGGAGAUUAAUGAUAGAAAAGUUUUUCUUUUCCUGA
rnacentral:tRNA from 1 species